AGUGAACGCUGGCGGUAGGCCUAACACAUGCAAGUCGAACGGCAGCACAGUAAGAGCUUGCUCUUACGGGUGGCGAGUGGCGGACGGGUGAGGAAUACAUCGGAAUCUACUUUUUCGUGGGGAUAACGUAGGGAAACUUACGCUAAUACCGCAUACGACCUACGGGUGAAAGCAGGGGAUCUUCGGACCUUGCGCGAUUGAAUGAGCCGAUGUCGGAUUAGCUAGUUGGCGGGGUAAAAGCCCACCAAGGCGACGAUCCGUAGCUGGUCUGAGAGGAUGAUCAGCCACACUGGAACUGAGACACGGUCCAGACUCCUACGGGAGGCAGCAGUGGGGAAUAUUGGACAAUGGGCGCAAGCCUGAUCCAGCCAUACCGCGUGGGUGAAGAAGGCCUUCGGGUUGUAAAGCCCUUUUGUUGGGAAAGAAAAGCAGCAGGUUAAUACCCCGCUGUUCUGACGGUACCCAAAGAAUAAGCACCGGCUAACUUCGUG
rnacentral:rRNA from 1 species